rnacentral:sRNA from 1 species
CCGCUCCGUGUAGAAUCUGCCCUAGAGACUCGCGGGGCCUCCACCUCAUAAUGUCUGAGCCGAGCUCAGAGCUGUGCCCUCUGCGGCCUCGUCUGUUGCAGGGGAGCAGGCAGGUCCCAGGAAGUGCGUGUCCUUCCUCCCCCAAGCAGACACGUGCUGCCUCGAAGUCUCAUCAGCCAGCCGGGCAGGCAUGGCAAACAACACCCCAGUGUCUCGGGGGCAGGCGCAGUGUGAGCUACAUCCUCUGCUGGGGCCGUCUUGGGAGUGGUUCUCCAGAUGCCAGGGCCUGGUCAGGGAAGUCCGGCCUCAGCUCAGCGUGGCCCUGGAGCCACCCACAAGGCACACGGGAGCUGGGCUGGGGUGGCAGAUGGGGCAUCGGCAGGACGUUUGUGGGGUGAGGGAGUGCGGGUGUCUGGCUGGGAGCCCAGAGGGUGGUGUGUAUCGCUGAGGCUGGACAAGAGGGAAGGCGGAGAAGCCUGGCCACGUGUCUCCUGAGGGCUCCAGGCAGGGCCCUCUCACCUGCUGCCAGGGUCCCAGCCCGCAGGAGCUUCCCGUGCACCUCUGAACUCACGGUCCACAUGGCGCUGGAGCGUCGGGCACCAUCUACAGGGCUUGAGGCCAGCAGCCUAGCCUCUGGGUCCACUGGGGCAGGCGAGGUGAGUCCUGCUGUCUGUGGAGCCAGCGUGCUGGGCCGGGCAGGGGGCCUCGUUGGCUGGGGUGGCUGCAGCUCCGCCCUGCCUGGGGCAUUUGUGGGUUUUUGCGAAAUGCAAAAGUAUGAGCUGCUAGUGAUUAACUUUUAAUGCCUUUAAUUUUUAGUAAAUGAGUAAGUGAAUCCCUGACCCCAGGCGGCUGGGACCUGGCCUGUACUUCAUGGGCUUUGUGUGAGCAGCUCCGUGCCAUCUGUCGCACACCCACACCUCAGCCUGGCCAGGCACCGUUUAGGAAUUUUGUCUUCUGGGUGUUCUCUCUCUCUCUCUCUCUGUCUCUCUCUCUCUCUCUCCGUGUGUGUGUGUGUGUGUGUGUGUGUGUGUGUGUGUUUUGAGGUUGAGUUUUGCUCUGUUGCCUGGCACAAUCUCAGCUCACCGCAACCUCCGCCUCCCGGGUUCAAGUGAUUGUCCUGCCUCAGCCUCUGAGUAGCUGGGAUUACAGGCGCCCACCACCACGCCCGGCUAAUUUUUGUAUUUUUAGUAGAGAUGGGGUUUCACCAUGUUGGCCAGGCUGGUCUCGAACUCCUGACCUUGUGAUCCGCCCACCUUGGCCUUCCAAAGUGCUGGGAUUACAGGCGUGAGCCACUGUGCCUGGCCCGUGUGUUUAUAUUUUUUAAAAAAAAUGGAUGUUUUUGUGUUUCUUAUGUUAGCUGCAUUUAGUUUGUUAAAGAAAAGUCACGGUUUUGUUUCCCCUGUGUCCUGUGGAUGCAUACCGUGCUGUUCUCCCCGGACCUGCUCUGAGGGCCCCACAUCUCGGCUGCAGUUCUCUGUGUGUUGGGGCUGAAUGCUGGCAUCAAACGAUCUGAAAAGAGUCAGCUGCCACUGUUAGGUUUUCUGUUUCUGUCUUGGGGUCAGGAUUUGUGGAUCAGGGACCUGGGGUGCGAGGUGAGGCAGCUUGUUAGGCGGAUGAUGUCUGUCUGGGGUUUGAUUGAUGGUGAGAUAAGACACGUAAACCAGGUCAUGCAAAUGAGAUCUUGUAGAUGUCAACCACAGAGAUUAAAUUUCCUCUCUUCAGCAGCUCUGGGAGGAGGUGAGAUGCCCAUUGGCCGUGUUCUGUGCACGUCUUGGCGUGUGACGAAGGGUGACUUGUCUCCAGAGAUGGAAUGAGGGGGUUGGGUGGGGCUCCUCCUGGACUCAGACCCACGCCCACCCACGCGCUCCAGGAGGGGGAUGCAUGGGCACUGGAAUCUCGGAUGGCCGUCCCCAGCCCCUGCACACGCACCCUGCGAGGUCGGCCGUGUGGAUUCACCCCCGACUCCCAGGCCCUGCACAGGCCCUGGGGCGUCAGCCGUGUGGACUCCCCAGGCUGGGUCCCAAGCCUGGACGCCCCCCACUCCCUGCUGCCCCGGGCUCUCCUGGUGGUGCUUCCACCACGUGGUCCCUGUGCUAUCCAUCAAGGGGCUGCUGGGCCACCUCCUACACUAACUCCAGUCUCUGCCAGACACUGCAUCUUCUCCAAGGCCACCGUGAGCGCCUGGCACCUCCUCAGCCCUGUGUUCCUUGGUACAUGCCUUGUUCUGGACAGCACAGGGCUGACUCACACAUGGGACUUGAGGCCCCUGGUUCUGUGCAUUGGGGUCGCUUUGGCCGAGGGGCCCUGAGGGCUGAGAACAUGGGGUGCACAGGGGCCCGUGUGAGGGUCAGGACAUGGGGGUGCAGGCCCUCAGGACAGCCAGAGGGACAGUGACCCUGUGUGUGGGGGGGGCAUGAGAAUGGGGGCCCUGGGGGUGAGCAGGUGCCCGCUGGUCGGCUUGAAAGGGAUCUGUUAUGUUCUGCUUUGGUUUCUUGGUUGCCCAGCCUUAGACUAGAGUGGGGUUCUGGCCUGGAGUAGGCCUGUGUGCAUCCCGCAGAGUUGGCUCAGGAAAGAUCGUGGCUGCAUGUGGUGUGUGGCACGCUCAGGGCUGAGAGGGCUGGGCCGGAUCUGCAGGGAGUCCAGCCUGUGGGCUGAGGGAGGCUGUUCUUCGGAAGGUUGUGCUGGGCGUCACUGCCAAACAGCAAGGACUGCAGUUGAGAAGACUACACGUUCUUGGUCCGCGGGGGCCACGGGGUCCGUGGGGGCGAGCAUCCGGGGCGAGCGGGAAUCCUCAGGGUUUGGGUUCCUUGUAAACCAGAAUCGCUUUGGAGAGGCCUCGGGGGCAGGUGCCAUUUGCAGUUCUGGUGUUUUCCGUGGGUUGUGUGUGUGGCUUGGGUGCCCUGUCCCCUGGAGGAAGGAGUGUCUGGUAGCUGCUCCUCCAGCCUCUGGUGAGCCGCACCUCCCGCCAUCCCAGCCCCACCCAGCAGGUCGGCUUGGAGUGAGGCGAUUACUUUGUACCUAGACUCUGACAUAAAAGCUGUUAGCUCAGAUUUUUCAACUUAAAAAUGCAGGCCGGGUGCAGCGGCUCAUGCCUAUAAUCCCAGCACUUUGGGAGGCUGGGGCAGGAAGAUGGCUUGAGCCCAGGAGUUGGAGACCAGCCUGGGCAACACAGCGAGAAUCUGUCUCUAACAAGAUGUUUUUUACAUUAGCUAGGUGUGGUGCUGCACAUCUGCAGUCUCAGCUUCUCGGGAAGAUCGCCUGAGCCUGGGAGUUCGAGGCUACAGUGAGCUGUGACUGUGCCACUGCACUGCAGCCUGGGUGACAGAGUGAAACCCUGUCUCUAAAAGUUAAAAUUAAAACGCAAACUUAAAUGUGCCAAAAUGUUGUUUUUUAGACAUGCAAGAAAGCACUUCAGCCAAGCAGAAGGGAGCCAGCUGGACGAGGUGCGCCAGGCCAUGGGCAUGCUGGCCUUCCCGCCCGACACGCACAUCUCCCCGUACAAGGACCUUCUGGACCCUGCACGGUGGCGGAUGCUGAUCCAGCAGUUCCGGUACGACAACUACCGACUACACCAGCUGGGAAACAACUCUGUGUUCACCCUCACUCUGCAGGCCGGCCUCUCAGCCAUCAAGACACCACAGUGCUACAAGGAGGACGGCAGCUCCAAGAGCCCUGACUGCCCUGUGUGCAGCCGCUCCCUGAACAAGCUGGCGCAGCCCCUGCCCAUGGCCCACUGUGCCAACUCCCGCCUGGUCUGCAAGAUUUCUGGCGACGUGAUGAACGAGAACAAUCCGCCCAUGAUGCUGCCCAACGGCUACGUCUACGGCUACAAUGUGAGGGGGGCAGGGCAGGGGGGCCAGGCUGGCACGCAUUGCCAUCGGGACAGGGCUGUGUGGGACGGGCAGGGCAGGGGGGCCAGGCUGGCACACAUCGCCAUCGGGACAGGGCUGUGUGGGAUGGGCAGGGCGGGGGGCCAGGCUGGCACGCGUCGCCAUCGGGACAGGGCUGUGUGGGGCGGGCAGGGCAGGGGGGCCAGGCUGGCACACGUCGCCAUUGGGACAGGGCUGUCUUCUCGCCCCACCCUGCCUUAGCUUCAUUCGAAAUGGAUGAAGGGGUGGGAAGGACAGGCGAGGUGGCCCCGGGAUUUCUUUGGCAGGUGUGUCUUCGGGAAGGAACUUUGCCUGAGAGGAUGAGUCAUUCCCUGGUGGUUCAUUGUGGGGAUUUUCCAUGGAAAUCCGUGUGUACGUUGUAUUCGCUUGCCUUAAUGCAUUCCCGGUUUUAUUUUUCAGUCUCUGCUUUCUAUCCGUCAAGAUGAUAAAGUCGUGUGCCCGAGAACCAAAGAAGUCUUCCACUUCUCACAAGCCGAGAAGGUGUACAUCAUGUAGGCCCCACGUCGUGAAGCGCACGCCUCGGGGACGGGCUGCAGCGGGCGGGGAGGCCACGCCUUCCUCCUGUCCCACGCUCCAGCCUGCCGCGGCGUUUCUGUCUCUUGCGACCAAAGAUCCGUGAGCAACGAUAAAUACUCUUAGGAAGAGAGAAAAUAAGGUUUCAUAAGUUUGUACUUGAAAACAUUUGGAUUGGUAGGAUUUUGUAACACGUCAACCAUUUGAUGCUUCUGAAAAGUACUUUCAACUUGCGAAGGAAACUUCUUUAAAGACUGACCUAAACACCGAGGGAAACUUUAGAACGUUUAAAAUAUAGGAGUGCGUGAUUUCCCUGUGUUUUCAGUUUCUUUCCUUCUGUGAACGAUGAGACUUGGAGAACGGGCUGGUCCUUCACCACUUCCUGUUGGCCCUGGCCCGGCCGGGGAAGGUGGCAGCGGCACUGGACUGACCUGCAGUGACCCGCGAUGCCGCGCCACGAGGGACACUUAUGGCUUCAUUCGAGAGCUGCUGCCAAAACGCCUGGCGCCGCCACCGUCAGGGGCUGGCUUCGAGGACGCCCGCCUGCCUCGCGGGCCGUGUCUGCGGGACUGUGUUCGUACGUGCAUAGUUUCGAUAUCACAUCGCGGGGCUGUGUUCGUAGCUGCGUCGUUUCGAUAUCACACCCUCUGUGUGCCGCCUUACUUCCUGCUUCGAGAAUGUAUAACGUGGAAAUCCACGGGACCAAGUUUCUGCAGAGGCCUUGCCGGAUGGUUCCAUAACUGUAGAGUCUAAUUGCUAUCCAUUACAGAAAUUAAUCGUUCAGUUGAAAGAAGUACUGAUGACUUUUCAAAACAAAUGAACCACCGUAGCUGACAGAGAACCGUAUCGUAGAGGUUUGUAGUUAGUGCUUAUUUUUGCAUGUUGAUGUUGACUAGCUAAUAAACUGUAAAUGUAAACCAUGCGAAUAAAAUGGUUUUCUAUUUCUC